rnacentral:piRNA from 1 species
UGAAUAAGCAAUAGCCUGGCGACCAAGUG